ACGAACGCUGGCGGCGUGCUUAACACAUGCAAGUCGCACGGAAAGGCCCUGCUUUUGUGGGGUGCUCGAGUGGCGAACGGGUGAGUAACACGUGAGUAACCUGCCCUUGACUUUGGGAUAACUUCAGGAAACUGGGGCUAAUACCGGAUAGGAGCUCCUGCUGCAUGGUGGGGGUUGGAAAGUUUCGGCGGUUGGGGAUGGACUCGCGGCUUAUCAGCUUGUUGGUGGGGUAGUGGCUUACCAAGGCUUUGACGGGUAGCCGGCCUGAGAGGGUGACCGGCCACAUUGGGACUGAGAUACGGCCCAGACUCCUACGGGAGGCAGCAGUGGGGAAUAUUGCACAAUGGGCGGAAGCCUGAUGCAGCAACGCCGCGUGCGGGAUGACGGCCUUCGGGUUGUAAACCGCUUCCGCCUGUGACGAAGCGUGAGUGACGGUAAUGGGUAAAGAAGCACCGGCUAACUACGUG
rnacentral:rRNA from 1 species